AGUUGCAGUCCGAUCAGUCUGCCUGUGGAUGGAAAUGUCCCUGAAGAUCCUGUCCAUCACCGUUCUCCUGUUCAUGGGGUCCCUCUGGUCCCCUGCAGCCAGCCAGAUUGGCCCCUGUAAGUACAAAGUUAGAAAUGCUGUUUAUAAAACUCAUUUCUUACUCCAGUCUAACAGACUGUAAUUUCUGUUUUUAAAUUCUUUUGUGUCUGCCUCUCUGUAGAUUUGUACUGAUUUAAAUCCUUUCAAUCGCCUUUAGAAACUCAUCUUUACAGACUUAUUUUUAUGUGAAUUUACUUUUUCAAACACUUCUGUUUUAACUUGAUUAACUUUUUAGAAACUGCAUUGAGGAGAAUUUCUCUUUUUAAAAAACGUCUUCCACAGCUGCAUUUCAUGAAAGGGGAAAACACUUAAAAUUUUUAAUUUACAUUAUAAGAAAUGUACAAAAGGUCCUUAUAUAUAAAUAAGUUUGUUUCCCUCCUCUGUAUGUCUGUGCGUGUUUGUCAGAUAUAAUGUUUAAAGGUCAGCCGUGCUGUCUUGAAGCCGGCACCUCCAUAAGUGAAGAGAUCAUGGAGUGCUUCUUACAGAUACCCACAAAGAAGUGCAACUCCAGUAACUAUGCGUAAGUAAGGCAUAUAUACAUAUAUAUAUAGGUAGGUAGGUAGGUAGACAGAUAUACAGAUAGAUAGAUAGAUAGAUAGAUAGAUAGAUAGAUAGAUAGAUAGAUAGAUAGAUAGAUAGAUAGAUAGAUAGAUAGAUAGAUAGAUAGAUAGAUAGAUAGAUAGAUAGAUAGAUAGAUAGAUAGAUAGAUAGAUAGAUAGAUAUGAAAUCAGAUGAAGCUGUAGUUUUUCUUUUGCAAGAACAUUGGGGGGAGAAGGAGUCCAUUAUUACCAGGUGUUGAAAAAUGAACCUUUUUAUCGUUUGCAUCUAAUUCCAGGGUUAAAGUUCUAGAGGGGAAAUGGUACUGUAUUCGAUCAGACUCGGAGUGGAUGGAAGAGCAAAUACAGGAGGUGAGAAUCAGUCCAUCAGCUUCUCCUGUUGCCACCUUUGCCAUUCUAGAAAAUACAAAUUUAGCUAUCCUUUAGUGCCAAAAGUUGUUCUUGUUGAUGUUUGGUAGGUUUAGUUAAAGGACAGUUACGCUAAUCAUCUUGAUAUAAAACCUACAAAAUGAGUCUUUGUUAGCUAGGAGUAAACGUGACGUCUGAAUAACUCAUGUCGUCCCAAUCAUAGCAACAGACUGUAUAAAACAUUUUAAAAUUUUAACAUUUCAAUAACAUUUUCUUAUUCCUGACUCCUCCACAGGCAAGAGUUGUCUGUACACCAAUAAUGUAAAACAAAAAACUGAAAAGUGCUGUGGAGCGACAAAAGAAAGAGGCUGCUGAGGACUGCUCUGCUGAUGAAACCCUCACAGCUUUAAAUUCUUUAUUUGUUCUAUUUCCUUUGAAAUGCAGUUUUUCGACAUACUUUUCUGCAGCUUUUAGCAACUUUACUGCAGCGGUACUGUGUGAAUGGGUAUUUCUGUCACAUAAGGUUUAUGAACCCGGUGAAACAUCAAGUUUAAUGUGAGUAAAACUUUCAUAUUCUGACUCCAUAAAGGUAAGAAAAUCACAGCAGCUCUCAUCACAUUAGGGGCUGGAAAUGACCUUAAGUCCAAUUACACUUUGCACAGGAAAUUUAUCAGCAUGUUGUGAUUACAAACAAAUCCUGUGAUGGUUUUUAGUUUUAGUUUUAUGAACAUUAAAGAGGCUAGGAUGUCUCUCUCAAGAAUCAAAAUUAAAGAGUGCCAAUCGUCUUUAACUCACUUUUUUUUUUUUUUUUUUAAAUAGAAAAUACUGCCACUCCUGUGUUUGCAACAUGUCUUUACUAAAUAAAAAAUAAACCAAA
rnacentral:lncRNA from 1 species